UACGUAGGGGGCAAGCGUUGUCCGGAGUUACUGGGCGUAAAGGGCGCGUAGGCGGUUCGCUAAGUCGGAUGUGAAAACUCUGGGCUCAACCCAGAGCCUGCAUCCGAAACUGGCGGGCUAGAGUUCUGGAGGGGGUAGCGGAAUUCCUGGUGUAGCGGUGAAAUGCGUAGAUAUCUGGAGGAACACCGGUGGCGAAGGCGGGUCUCUGGGCAACAACUGACGCUGAGGAGCGAAAGCGUGGGGAGCGAACAGG
rnacentral:rRNA from 1 species